rnacentral:lncRNA from 1 species
AACUGAAAUAUCAAGUUGUAUUAAAAACAUUUUCCUUGUUUUUUUGUCAUCUUAGUCAUAGGCGUACGGUAGGAAAAAAAUCAGUGGGGAGGGGCAGAAUGAAAAUUGGCCCGAUUAUUCCCACAUUGUGCCCGACUUACUAAAAAAAAUUUCCGUUUAGAUUUUCAAAAUUGUUGUCGACGGGGGGGGGGGGAGGUUUUCAACGUUACUUUUACAUAUUUCUUACCAAUUUUUGCCCGAAUUACUUUUGUAAUUUGCCCGAAUUAAUUUUUAACUUGGGUGAGCAACUCCCCCCUGCCCCCUCACCGUAUACGCCUAUGACCUUUGUUUUGUUGUGGUAUAUGCCACCAAUUAUUCACCGGCCUAUAAGUGUCGGUCAAUAGUGCAAGUAUAUUCACCUCAACGCUUCGCGUUUCAUCGUGAAUAUUCUCCCACUCUUCUUAACUAAAAUUGAUGAAAAAUUAUAUUGAACUUUGUGAAAUUGCUCACCAUUAUCGUAAAAAGUAAAACAUGUAGAACAUUAGCGAAGAGCGCCAAUAUUGACAAUGAUGCUUUUUGUACACCAUGCAUUAUUAUUAUUAUAACAAUGGAUUAAUGACCAUGGCAAAAGUUAAAAACACUUUGGUCUAUAUAAUCCAAUAAACCAGUUCGAAGUUUUAACUGCCUAUCCAAAAGACGCGUUCUGAGUUGGGUAAAAAUUGAAUCACAUAACAUGUAGCUAAGACUGCGCACGUAUUCAUAUUUUUAAUUUCUUUAGUGACUUAUUUUCCAGAAAAAAGAAAAAAAACUUUAUUUAAUUGACACCAGUACGCAGGAAUACACGAAAAAGCCGCUAUGUUUCGCUACGACAUGUGGAAAAUAUGUUUUAGUUUUUAAAAAGACUAGUCAGUUGGAUGGAAAGUAGUAACACCGAACUUGUUUAUUGAAAUUUGAUAAAAAAAAAUAGUGUAAUAACUUUGCCAGUAUGGGCAAAAGUUCAUGGAGAAGUCCGACGAAGCUUUCAAGACUGCAUUCUAGCGGGAAGAUUAUAUGGAUUCCACCUGAAAACAUUGUUCUUAAAAAGCACACAAAAUUAUUAUGACCAUCUCGUAUAUAAGUUGUUUGUGAUUCAGUUGGAUUUGAAAAUUCCUGAUCAUGUGACUGAUUUACGAAUUUUUAAUGGUAAUGACUUAUGACACUCUUCAGACUUCACAAGCUAGUUGCAGUUGAUAUGCAGGUCGAUGAUAAAGGUCGAAUACCAACAAUAUACAGCAUGGUUGUUUGAAUACGUUGCAGUUGCACGAUAUGUCAAAAGAAACUGAGAAACAAUGUACGUACAUUGCAUCGAAAGACCGUGAGUGGUUCACUUGGCAAAGUUAGGUUGUAUACGCUUUACGAACCGUUCCUGGUUGCAGUUGAUAUAUAUUUGGACUAAUCGAUGAUUUGUUAAAGACAUGCAAACAAUAUAAAGGAUUACUUAAAACCAUUGUAUUAAAGCCACAAGAAAUACCAUCAAUGAUGACAAUCUCGAAAGACGAUGCAUAAGUCGUUAGACCGUGCAUAAAUUAAAAUGGUAGUGAAUGAAGGUACAAAUGAAUAUUACAAAUGGUCGGUUGACUAACCACCAUGAACUAGGUUACGAAAUUGUGGUAAAGAAGGUGUAGUGAUUAAAACUAACAGGAAAUUCUGUAUUGAGAAAGAAAAUUGAGAAACGCCAGAAAGUGCAUUCAACCUAGUGCUAAUAUAAGUCUGGUGAGUUGCCAUUGAAGAUCUUGAACGAUUGCUUGACUUCGUCUUACUUACGAUCAGGAGGAAAAGGAUUUGGAGUUCGUCCAUAUAAAGCAGUGAACGAACGGUUACAUUAUAUUAACCCUUGGAGACAUAUAUACUUGUGAGUUUGUGCAUUUCGUAAAUCUUGGAGACUAAAAUAUUUGGCAAGAACAACCUCUCGAACUAGCAGUACCACAGUUAUCGUGUCGAUCGUGUGGUUCUAAACUGGGGGACAUAUUCCUUGUAACGAAUAACUCGUCCUGAUGCUUUGUCUGACUUUGAUCAAAUUAGCGAAACGAACUUAUCAUGAGCGCAAAGAGAACUGAACAAUUGUUUACAUUAUAAUCAGAUACUUUGAAUUUAUUUAGUUCUAGUAUAAUAUACUGUUUGUAGA